UACGAAGGGGGCUAGCGUUGUUCGGAAUUACUGGGCGUAAAGCGUGCGCAGGCGGCUUCUCAAGUCAGGGGUGAAAGCCCAGAGCUCAACUCUGGAAUUGCCUUUGAGACUGAGUGGCUUGAGUACGAGAGAGGUGAGUGGAAUUCCCAGUGUAGAGGUGAAAUUCGUAGAUAUUGGGAAGAACACCGGUGGCGAAGGCGGCUCACUGGCUCGUAACUGACGCUCAUGAACGAAAGCGUGGGGAUCAAACAGG
rnacentral:rRNA from 1 species